rnacentral:rRNA from 1 species
GGGAGGCAGCAGUGAGGAAUAUUGGACAAUGGAGGCAACUCUGAUCCAGCCAUGCCGCGUGCAGGAAGACUGCCCUAUGGGUUGUAAACUGCUUUUAUACAGGAAGAAACCGCUCUACGUGUAGAGCCUUGACGGUACUGUAAGAAUAAGGAUCGGCUAACUCCGUGCCAGCAGCCGCGGUAAUACGGAGGAUCCAAGCGUUAUCCGGAAUCAUUGGGUUUAAAGGGUCCGUAGGUGGAUGAUUAAGUCAGAGGUGAAAUCCUGCAGCUCAACUGUAGAAUUGCCUUUGAUACUGGUUGUCUUGAGUUAUUAUGAAGUAGUUAGAAUAUGUAGUGUAGCGGUGAAAUGCAUAGAUAUUACAUAGAAUACCAAUUGCGAAGGCAGAUUACUAAUAAUACACUGACACUGAUGGACGAAAGCGUGGGGAGCGAACAGGAUUAGAUACCCUGGUAGUCCACGCCGUAAACGAUGGUCACUAGCUGUUCGGACUUCGGUCUGAGUGGCUAAGCGAAAGUGAUAAGUGACCCACCUGGGGAGUACGUUCGCAAGAAUGAANCUCAAANGAAUUGNNGGGGGCCCGCACAAGCGGNGGNNCAUGUGGUU